ACUUUGCUUUUAAGUACUAUAAUUCAAUAAUGUACAUAUUUUUUUUUAUAUUAUAAUUAGAUAAUUUUCUAUGAUAUAUUUAAAUCAUACAUAGAUGAACUAUAUCCUAGAUAUGAAGUUAGGAAAAUGGACAAAACUGACUAAGUUUAAACUUUGCUUUUAAGUACUAUAAUUCAAUAAUGUACAUAUUUUUUUUUAUAUAUUAUAAUUAGAUAAUUUUCUAUGAUAUUUAUAUUUAAAUCAUACAUAGAUGAACUAUAUCCUAGAUAUGAAGUUAGGAAAAUCGACAAAACUGACUAAGUUUAAACUUUGCUUUUAAGUAUUAUAAUUCAAUAAUAUACAUUUUUUUUUUUAUAUAUUAUAAUUAGAUCAUUUUCUAUGAUGUUUAUAUUUAAAUCAUUAGAUCAAAAUAAUAUAGUUUAUAGUUUUACAAAGAUGUUUAUUUUUUUUUUUUUUUUUUUUUUUUUUUUUAUUCUUGAAAAACUUCAUAGAAAUCAUUUACUUUUAUUACUAUACAAAUAUAAAGAUCUUAUUAAUACACCAGUAUAUAAUUUUGAAACCAAAUUAAGAAAAAAGUAAUAUAAACUUCCCUGUAUGUAAUAAAUUAUUUGGUAUGAUGUCACCUCUAAAUACUGUAUGUAGUAUGAAUAUUAAUAUUCAUUAAUUUCUAACAUUAAUUAAAUUUAAGAUGCACGUUAAAAAUUUCUUUUCAAUUUUGCAAAGUCUGUUAGUAUUUAGUUUUAAUAAACGCUUAUUUAAAAUGUAUUAUCAUAUUGUUUAUCGCCUAAUAUACAUUUUUAUUUAUCUUUAACAAAUUUGAGAGUUUUCUUUUUGUUACCUACUAUUUUGUAUUACUAAGACUCACUCAACCUAAAAAAAUUAUACUUAUUGGUUGGGUCAGAUAGUAUUUUGUUAUAACACAAUUGUUUAACCUGUAUUUCUGAAAUGAGAUUAUUAUUGUUACUAAUGACCGGAUUUAAUUGAUAUUGCCACUUUUUUUUUGCAAUAAAG